rnacentral:rRNA from 1 species
GGGAAGAAUAAGUAGGGGACAAUACCCCCUAUGAUGACGGUACCGUUUGUAAGCUCCGGCUAACUCCGUGCCAGCAGCCGCGGUAAUACGGGGGGAGCAAGCGUUGUUCGGAUUUACUGGGCGUAAAGGGCGCGUAGGCGGUCAGCACAAGUCAGUUGUGAAAUCUCCGAGCUUAACUCGGAAAGGUCAACUGAUACUGUGCGACUAGAGUGCGGAAGGGGCAACUGGAAUUCUUGGUGUAGCGGUGAAAUGCGUAGAUAUCAAGAGGAACACCUGCGGCGAAGGCGGGUUGCUGGGCCGACACUGACGCUGAGGCGCGAAAGCCAGGGGAGCGAACGGGAUUAGAUACCCCGGUAGUCCUGGCCUUAAACGAUGAAUGCUUGGUGUCUGGGGUUAUAAAGUCCCCGGGUGCCGUCGCUAACGCUUUAAGCAUUCCGCCUGGGGAGUACGGUCGCAAGACUGAAACUCAAAGG